ACGGGAGGCAGCAGUGGGGAAUAUUGCACAAUGGGCGCAAGCCUGAUGCAGCGAUGCCGCGUGAGGGAAGAAGGUUUUCGGAUUGUAAACCUCUGUCAUCGGGGACGAUAAUGACUGUACCCGAGAAGGAAGCUCCGGCUAACUACGUGCCAGCAGCCGCGGUAAUACGUAGGGAGCGAGCGUUAUCCGGAAUUACUGGGUGUAAAGGGAGUGUAGGCGGGACUGUAAGUCAGAUGUGAAAUAUACCGGCUCAACUGGUAGACUGCAUUGGAAACUGCGGUUCUUGAGUGAAGUAGAGGUAAGCGGAAUUCCUAGUGUAGCGGUGAAAUGCGUAGAUAUUAGGAGGAACAUCAGUGGCGAAGGCGGCUUACUGGGCUUUAACUGACGCUGAGGCUCGAAGGUGCGGGUAUCGAACAGGAUUAGAUACCCUGGUA
rnacentral:rRNA from 1 species